CCACGAGUGGCAAUCACGUUUAUUGGGCCUAAAGCGUCCGUAGCAGGUUUUGUAAAUCUCUUGUGAAAUUGCCGGGCUUAACUCGGCAACGUGCAGGAGACACUGCAAGACUAGGGACCGGGAAGGGUUAGAGGUAUUCCUGAGGGAGCGGUAAAAUGCUAUAAUCUCAGGAGGACCGCCUGUGGCGAAGGCGUCUAACUAGAACGGAUCCGACUGUGAGGGACGAAAGCUAGGGGAGCAAACCG
rnacentral:rRNA from 1 species